GACGAACGCUGGCGGUGUGCUUAACACAUGCAAGUCGAACGGUAAGGCCCUUUAGGGGGUACUCGCGCGGCGAACGGGCGAGUAACACGUGAGUAACCUGCCAUCAUCUUUGGGAUAACAGUCGGAAACGGUUGCUAAUACUGGAUAUGAGCUUGCAUCGCAUCUUGUGGGUUGGAAAGAUUUUUUUGGUUGGGGAUGGACUCGCGGCCUAUCAGCUUGUUGGUGAGGUAGUGGCUCACCAAGGCUUCGACGGGUAGCCUGCCUGAGAGGGCGAGCGGCCACAUUGGGACUGAGAUACGGCCCAAACUCCGACGGGAGGCAGCAGUGGGGAAGAUUGCACAAUGGACGGAAGUCUGAUGCAGCAACGCCGCGUGCGGGAUGACGGCCUUCGGGUUGAAAACCGCUUUCAAGUGUGACGAAGCUUUUUGUGACGGUAGCAGUAGAAGAAGCACCGGCUAACUACGUG
rnacentral:rRNA from 1 species